GAUGAACGCUGGCGGCGUGCCUAAUACAUGCAAGUCGAGCGGACAGAUGCUGCUCUUGCUCCUCUGACGUUUGCCGCACACGGGUGAGUCACGUGUGGAUACCCUCCCUAUCAGACUGGUAUCACUUCGGGACUCCGGCUCUAAUCCCAGAUGAUCUCUUGCACCGCAUGGUUCAUUAGUAAAAUACGGUUUUGCUGUCACUUAUCGCUGGAUCCGCGCCGCAUUAGCUAGUUGGUACGGUAACGGCUUACCAAGGCAACGCUGCGUAGCCGACCUGAGGGGGUGAUGGGCCACUGUGGAGCUGAGCCGCGGUCCAGAGACCGACGGGAGGCCGCAGUAGGGAAUCGUCCGCAAUGGGCGAAAGCCUGACGGAGCAACGCAGCGUGAGUGAUGAAGGGCCGCGGAUCGUAAAACUCUGUUAUGGGGGAAGAACAAAUGUGUAAGUAACGAUGCACGUCUGGACGGAACCGAAUCAGAAAGCCACGGCUAACUACGU
rnacentral:rRNA from 1 species